rnacentral:misc_RNA from 1 species
UUAUUGCUCAUUUAUGCAUAUACGCCUACUACUUGCUCGUUAUCUGUGCGGUGGGAUAUGCGUGCUUUCACACACACACACCACACACACACUGUGCCCACUGAUAUACAAUAAAUUUGUUAAUGAUCCUUCCGCAGGUUCACCUACGGAAA